UUACGGCAAUACUACGUUGAAACACCAGUUCACGUACGAACACAGAAGUUAAGCAACAUCGAGCCUGAUCAGUACUUAGAUGUAUCCCCACUUGAGAAUAUCAGGUGCUGCAAGC